CGUAGGUAACCUGCCUGGUAGCGGGGGAUAACUAUUGAAAACGAUAGCUAAUACCGCAUAACAGUAGAUAUCGCAUGAUAUUUGCUUGAAAGGUGCAAUUGCACCACUACCAGAUGGACCUGCGUUGUAUUAGCUAGUUGGUGAGGUAACGGCUCACCAGGGCAACGAUACAUAGCCGACCUGAGAGGGUGAUCGGCCACACUGGGACUGAGACACGGCCCAG
rnacentral:rRNA from 1 species